UACGAAGGGGGCUAGCGUUGCUCGGAAUGACUGGGCGUAAAGGGCGCGUAGGCGGAUGGCACAGUCAGAUGUGAAAUUCCCGGGCUUAACCUGGGGGCUGCAUUUGAUACGUGUGAUCUAGAGUGAGGAAGAGGGUCGUGGAAUUCCCAGUGUAGAGGUGAAAUUCGUAGAUAUUCGCAAGAACACCAGUGGCGAAGGCGGCUCACUGGUCCGGUACUGACGCUGAGGUGCGAAAGCGUGGGGAGCAAACAGG
rnacentral:rRNA from 1 species